AACGUAGGGGGCGAGCGUUGCCCGGAUUCACUGGGCGUAAAGCGGGUGUAGGCGGUCCAUUAAGUCGGAUGUGAAAUCUCACGGCCCAACCGUGGAAUUGCAUCCGAAACUGGUGGACUUGAGGACGGCAGAGGCAGGUGGAAUACCGGGUGUACCGGUGAAAUGGGCAGAUAUCCGGUGGAACACCAGUGGCGAAGGCGGCCUGCUGGGCCGUUCCUGACGCUGAGACCCGAAAGCCAGGGGAGCAAACCGG
rnacentral:rRNA from 1 species